rnacentral:rRNA from 1 species
ACGGGUGAGUAACACGUGGGCAACCAGCCCUUUAGAUUGGGAUAACUUCGGGAAACCGAAGCUAAUACCGAAUAAUACAAGGAACCACCUGGUUCUUUGUUGAAAGAUGGCCUUCGUGCUAUCACUAAAGGAUGGGCCCGCGGCGCAUUAGCUAGUUGGUAAGGUAACGGCUUACCAAGGCGACGAUGCGUAGCCGACCUGAGAGGGUGAUCGGCCACACUGGGACUGAGACACGGCCCAGACUCCUACGGGAGGCAGCAGUAGGGAAUCUUCCGCAAUGGACGAAAGUCUGACGGAGCAAUGCCGCGUGAGUGAGGAAGGCCUUCGGGUCGUAAAGCUCUGUUGUGAGGGAAGAACAAGUACCGGCAUAACUACCGGUACCGUGACGGUACCUCACCAGAAAGCCACGGCUAACUACGUGCCAGCAGCCGCGGUAAUACGUAGGUGGCAAGCGUUGUCCGGAAUUAUUGGGCGUAAAGCGCGCGCAGGCGGCUUCUUAAGUCUGAUGUGAAAUCUCGGGGCUCAACCCCGAGCGGCCAUUGGAAACUGGGAAGCUUGAGUACAGAAGAGGAGAGUGGAAUU